rnacentral:rRNA from 1 species
GACGAACGCUGGCGGCGUGCCUAAUACAUGCAAGUCGAGCGAAUCUCAGGGAGCUUGCUCCCUGAGAUUAGCGGCGGACGGGUGAGUAACACGUGGGUAACCUGCCUGUAAGACUGGGAUAACUUCGGGAAACCGGAGCUAAUACCGGAUAAUUUCUUUUCUCGCAUGAGGAGAGGUGGAAAGAUGGUUUCGGCUAUCACUUACAGAUGGACCCGCGGCGCAUUAGCUAGUUGGUGAGGUAACGGCUCACCAAGGCGACGAUGCGUAGCCGACCUGAGAGGGUGAUCGGCCACACUGGGACUGAGACACGGCCCAGACUCCUACGGGAGGCAGCAGUAGGGAAUCUUCCGCAAUGGACGAAAGUCUGACGGAGCAACGCCGCGUGAGCGAAGAAGGCCUUCGGGUCGUAAAGCUCUGUUGUUAGGGAAGAAUAAGUACGAGAGUAACUGCUCGUACCUUGACGGUACCUAACCAGAAAGCCACGGCUAACUACGUGCCAGCCGCCGCAGUAAAAC